GAGACUUAACUCUGUCACCAGGCUGGAGCGCAGUGGCAAGGUCUCAGCUCAGUACAACCUCCAUCUCCCGGGUUCCAGCAAUUCUGCCUCAGCCUCCCACAGGUGCACACCACCAUGCCCAGUUAUUUUGUAUUUUUAGUACAGACAGGGUUUCACCGCGUUGGCCAGGAUCUCUAGAUGUUGUGAUCCGCCUGCCUUAGCCUAAGUGCUGGGAUUACGGGUGUGAGCCACCAAGCCUGGCUGCAUUUAACAUGCCCUCUUAAACACUGCCUCACUCCUCUUAGCUUGUAAGAAAAAUCAAGCUGUGUUCCCCCACAAUCAUAGCUAGUAACUAGCUUCCAUUCUCAAACCAACCCUGACCUCAACACCUUGGCAAGCAAGCUCUACAGUCCACCAAACUCCAAUCUCACCCACCUCCCUCAAACCUGUCUCCAUCAAGUUCCAAAUGGCUUAACGGCUGUCCCACCUCCCCUAUGCCAGUAGGUAACUUUACCUUCUAGAUGAUCCCCCUUCAGUCCCAUCCUUCAGGGUACUGAACAUUUAUGUUGGCAGCCAGUGCAGGGGGCUUGACAAAGUUUCCAUUGUGACUCACGUCAUGAGGCAAGCAAUUCUGGCAAUCUUCAGGCGGAGGUGCGCCAGGUAGUAGAGGCUCAUACAACUCAUCAGCUAGGGAUACAACCUCCCGUUGCUACCAUCGAUUUUUCCUCCACUACACUGCAGGAAGCUAAAGAAUCGGUCUAACUCAUCUUGCACUCAACCCAGACUUACGGUCCUAUUGGUCAGGACCUAAUAUCCAUUUUCCCAAUAAACUGCCAAUAUAAAGUGAACCCAAGGGGGACCCACCUGAGACUAGGUUUCAGGGCCUUUAGAACUGAAGCUAUCAUGCUAGUUUCCUUCAACAGUACCAUUCAGAUUCUUGGCUGAUGUCACCACAGCCACCUCCACAAAAAUGAACCACAAACAUGCAGUCGUAUUUAUUUUAAUUCAUAAAUACAUUAACAUAGCAGAUUAGGCAAUUUGUUAGGUAAAUUACAAAUACAUUAGAAAUCAUACAAAAGUGGCCGGGCAGGGUGGCUCACAGCUGUAAUCCCAGCACUUUAGGAGGCUGAGGUGGGCGGAUCACGAGGUCAGGAGUUGAGAACAGCCUGGCCAAUAUGGUGAAACCUCAUCUCUACUAAAAAUACAAAAAUUAGCCAGGGAGGCUGAGGCAGGAGAAUCGCCUGAACCUGGGAGGCGGAAGUUGCAGUGAGCAAGAUCAUGAAAAGCAAAAUACUCAAGGACUUUUAAUAUAACCACCAACACAGUGUGCCUUCUGGCCAAGCAGAGUCACUUCUGUGGUUCUUAAAGUAUGAAUGAGGUGAAAGAAUGUGCAUUCCUAGCUAAAUGCCAAAUUCCAAAGCCUUUAGUACAAAAACAGCAGACUUUCUGCAAAACAGGUCGACUUUUAAAAGAGGUAUGAGGGCUGGGCGUGGUGGCUUAUGUUUGUAAUCCCAGCUACUUGGGAGGCUGAGGUUGCAGCCAAGAUUGCGCCACUGCACUACAGCCUGGGCGACAGAGCAAG
rnacentral:lncRNA from 1 species